UACGUAGGGGGCAAGCGUUGUCCGGAAUCAUUGGGCGUAAAGCGCGUGUAGGCGGUUCAGUAAGUCUGCUGUGAAAGUCCAGGGCUCAACCCUGCGUCGGCCAGGGAUACUGCCGCGGCUCGAGCACUGUAGAGGCAGGCGGAAUUCCGGGUGUAGCGGUGGAAUGCGUAGAGAUCCGGAAGAACACCGGUGGCGAAGGCGGCCUGCUGGGCAGUUUAGCUGACACUGAGGCGCGACAGCGUGGGGAGCAAACAGG
rnacentral:rRNA from 1 species